UACGAAGGGGGCUAGCGUUGCUCGGAAUGACUGGGCGUAAAGGGCGCGUAGGCGGUUUGGUUAGUUAGGCGUGAAAUUCCUGGGCUCAACCUGGGGGCUGCGCUUAAUACAGCCAGACUAGAGUGUGAAAGAGGGUCGUGGAAUUCCCAGUGUAGAGGUGAAAUUCGUAGAUAUUGGGAAGAACACCGGUGGCGAAGGCGGCGACCUGGUUCAUUACUGACGCUCAGGCACGAAAGCGUGGGGAGCAAACAGG
rnacentral:rRNA from 1 species